rnacentral:rRNA from 1 species
UACGGAGGGUGCGAGCGUUAUCCGGAUUCACUGGGUUUAAAGGGAGCGUAGGCGGGCAUGUAAGUCAGUGGUGAAAUCUUGGGGCUCAACCCCGAAACUGCCAUUGAUACUAUGUGCCUUGAAUGUCGUUGAGGUUUGCGGAAUAUGUCAUGUAGCGGUGAAAUGCUUAGAUAUGACAUAGAACACCGAUUGCGAAGGCAGCAGGCUAAACGAAUAUUGACGCUGAGGCUCGAAAGCGUGGGGAGCAAACGGG